UAUAUUUUAGUGUAGGGGCACGAUAGGUUUUGAUUCUAUAAGAUAUAGUUUAAUUCUAUAAAAUAUAA
rnacentral:tRNA from 1 species